rnacentral:rRNA from 1 species
UCGCUACUACCGAUUGAAUGGCUUAGUGAGCUCCAGGGACUGUUGCGCUUCGUUGGGUUUCCUUCAAAGCGCUUCCGGGAACUGGAUCAAACUUGAUCAUUUAGAGGAAGUAA